rnacentral:rRNA from 1 species
CCUACGGGAGGCAGCAGUGGGGAAUAUUGCACAAUGGGCGCAAGCCUGAUGCAGCCAUGCCGCGUGUAUGAAGAAGGCCUUCGGGUUGUAAAGUACUUUCAGCGGGGAGGAAGGUGUUGUGGUUAAUAACCUCAGCAAUUGACGUUACCCGCAGAAGAAGCACCGGCUAACUCCGUGCCAGCAGCCGCGGUAAU